UUGCUUCGGCAGCACAUAUACUAAAAUUGGAAUGAUAGAGAGAAGAUUAGCAUGGCCCGUAGGCAAGGAUGACACCCAAAUUCAUGAAGCGGUCCAUAAAUUU